rnacentral:lncRNA from 1 species
CUCCAGUGAGCCCAUAGUGCUGAGUAUGUACUCAAACGAGAUCAAUGCUAGCUCCGUGUGCUGGAUGGAAGUCCCAGUUUCCUUGGGAUAAACUGCAAACUCCUGGUGGUGACUCAGGAGAAGGACCACCCUGAUGAGGGCCCUCUGGACUGUCCCAGGUAGUGAUGCCAAGUGGGGAAGUCCCUGGGUGAUCGAAGAAUGGUGAUCACAGGUAAAUGAGUGGUGGCUGAGGUUUUGUUUCAUGUCUGGUCAUGUCUUGUGUCCAUGUCAUCUGG